rnacentral:rRNA from 1 species
UAUGUAGGGUGCAAGCGUUGUCCGGAAUUAUUGGGCGUAAAGAGCUCGUAGGUGGUUUGUCGCGUCGGCUGUGAAAACUCGGGGCUCAACCCCCGAGCCUGCAGUCGAUACGGGCAAACUGGAGUACUGCAGGGGAGACUGGAAUUCCUGGUGUAGCGGUGAAAUGCGCAGAUAUCAGGAGGAACACCGGUGGCGAAGGCGGGUCUCUGGGCAGUAACUGACGCUGGAGGAGCGAAAGCGUGGGGAGCGAACAGG